GACGAACGCUGGCGGCGUGCCUAAUACAUGCAAGUCGAGCGCUGAAGGAUGGUACUUGUACCAACUGGAUGAGCAGCGAACGGGUGAGUAACGCGUGGGGAAUCUGCCUUUGAGCGGGGGACAACAUUUGGAAACGAAUGCUAAUACCGCAUAAAAACUUUAAACACAAGCUUUAAGUUUGAAGGAUGCCAUUGCAUCACUCAAAGAUGAUCCCGCGUUGUAUUAGCUAGUUGGUGAGGUAAAGGCUCACCAAGGCGAUGAUACAUAGCCGACCUGAGAGGGUGGUCGGCCACAUUGGGACUGGGGCACGGCCCAAACUCCUUCGGGAGGCAGCAGUAGGGAAUCUUCGGCCAUGGACGAAAGUCUGACCGAGCAACGCCGCGUGAGUGAAGAAGGGUUUCGGAUCGUAAAACUCUGUUGGUAGAGAAGAACGUUGGUGAGAGUGGAAAGCUCAUCAAGUGACGGUAACUACCCAGAAAGGGACGGCUAACUACGUG
rnacentral:rRNA from 1 species